rnacentral:tRNA from 1 species
GGUAAAAUGGCUGAGAAUAAGCAUUAGACUGUAAAUCUAAAGACAGGGGUAAUACCUCUUUUUACCA